rnacentral:rRNA from 1 species
GACGGGGGAUGCGAGCGUUAUCCGGAAUGAUUGGGCGUAAAGGGUCCGCAGGUGGCCCGGUCAGUCCGCUGUCAAAGCCGGGGGCUCAACCCUGGAGAGGCGGCGGAGACCACCGGGCUUGAGUCCGGUAGGGGCGGAGGGAAUUCCCGGUGGAGCGGUGAAAUGCGUAGAGAUCGGGAAGAACGCCAAGGGCGAAGGCACUCUGCUAGGCCUGAUUUCGCGACUGACGCUCAGGGACGAGAGCCAGGGGAGCGAAUGGG